rnacentral:misc_RNA from 1 species
GUCAGACUUGCUUCGAUUUGUUCUUUGGAUUGCAGGCUGUCAUCCCAGUCAUCUCCCAUCCUCAAGAUCUCAAGCUCCCUUUCACGUUUCAUCAACAACUGCCUCUGAAGGGCCUGAUUCUCCUCCGACAUCCUGAUCCUUCGUGACCGGAUCUGCGACUGAACCCUCGCCAGUGUCUGCAUACACCGCAAAGUCGUCGUCGCUUGCCGCUUCACCGAAUUCCCAUGAAUCAACGACUUCAACCUCACCAGACCCCUCAGCG